rnacentral:rRNA from 1 species
AUACGGAGGGUGCAAGCGUUACUCGGAAUCACUGGGCGUAAAGCGCAUGCAGGCGGUCUAAUAAGUUGGAAGUGAAAGCCUAUGGCUCAACCAUAGAACUGCUUCCAAAACUGUUAGACUAGAGUCUGGGAGGGGAAGAUGGAAUUAGUAGUGUAGGGGUAAAAUCCGUAGAGAUUAAUAGGAAUACCAAAAGCGAAGGCGAUCUUCUGGAACAGUACUGACGCUGAGAUGCGAAAGCGUGGGGAGCAAACAGGAUUAGAAACCCUAGUAGUCC